UACGUAGGGGGCAAGCGUUGUCCGGAUUUAUUGGGCGUAAAGAGCGUGUAGGCGGUUUGGUAGGUCCGCUGUGAAAACUCGAGGCUCAACCUCGAGACGCCGGUGGAAACCAUCAGGCUAGAGUCCGGAAGAGGAGAGUGGAAUUCCUGGUGUAGCGGUGAAAUGCGCAGAUAUCAGGAAGAACACCCGUGGCUAAGGCGGCUCUCUAGUACGGUACUGACGCUGAGACGCGAAAGCGUGGGGAGCGAACAGGG
rnacentral:rRNA from 1 species